AUGAUGUCAAAUCAAAAACAUAUUGAAAAAUUGGAAGAGGAAUAUAACCACCAGACUAUAAUUAUAAUGGAAGAAGACCCUAUAGUGGCUGAGUCAGCUACUUACCUGUUUGAAAGGCAUUUCACCAUAUCAACUCUGCUAAUAUACAAAAAUGGGAAACUGUGUGUUGUCAGAGGAAGCCCUUUCUCCUCUACCAGAAAUCAUGACGUCAUACUAGUUGGCCAUGGAAGUAAAUCUACUAAUGGAACAGUCAAACUGUCUGGCUUUGGCCCGGGGGAGAUUGCCAAAUUUGUCUCAGUCUUAAAAACUGAACUCUUCCUUAGCCAGCUUGGCACCAUAAGUCUUAUUAGCUGCAGGCUUGGCAAUGACCUUCACUUUAUUUUGCAGCUCUUACAGGCUUUUCAGUCUUACAACAUAAAAACAAUGCUGCAUUUAUAUGACUCUUUUGUCUCGGUUACCUCUGAGGGCAAGCUAUUGACAAGAUCAAAUGGAGUCUGGAGGUUCCAAGACCACAGUAGAAGAAUCUUUGCUGAAUUGGACCAAGGAGGUAGACUGCUAACCAAAGCUGAACUUGGCUGCACAGGGCCAGUUUUUCCUGAAUAUAAAGGAAGCAUCUUAUAUCUUCAAACACUAGAGUGGCCAAACCACCCUCAAAUGUUUGUUCCAGCCGAGCUACGUAAAAGGUACCCUUCUAUAGAUUGCUUAGAGGGACUUACGUGGAGUUUAUUCUUUGAGGAGAAUGAGAGAAGACGUGCACCCAAUUACGUCCCAGACAACAACCAAAGAACGUUAAAAGCAAUCUGGCUUACAGAACCAAGACCAGAAGAAGAAAGCACUAAUUUCAAGCAUAUCAUGACUAUUCAAGAUCUACUAGUUGAAAUACGAUACAAUGCCAGAGAGGAAAUUGCAUCCAAUCUUUACUAUGUUCUUAAUGAAUGCAUUUACAAAGUUAAUGGAAGAAACCUUAAUGUAAGUCUGGUGGGUAAGUUCAUGAUUACUGACAAUCAAGGUGAAAUUGAAAGUUUCCAUCAAAACUUUGGCAAGCAGCAGGGUUGGUCCUCCUUGCAUGAUCUGAGACAAGGACUCAAAGCAGCAAAAUUUAAUGACUUCUGUCGUCAGACUUUUCAGUUCCAACAGUGCAGCUACAACUGCGAGAGAUGGGGUCAUUACUUCAUGGUAGCAGUGUUUGCGGCAUCGGUGCGAAACUUUAGAACUUUCUCACUUUUCCUCAUGAGCGUCAUAGGUUGUGAAGUAGGCCGUAUACGCGGGAUUGACAGCUCCCUAUGCACAGCAUUUGUUGAUGAUGACCACCCGAUGGCAACUGAACAAGCUUGGCCAGAACAAUUUCACAGAGGAUUCUAUGGCUGUACUGUUGAUAACUACGAACUGGCACCACAGGACAAACAGAUGUGGUUAGAUGUACUAGUUGCAAAGGAGAAUGCCCUGUAUGUAAAGUCAAAGCAGCUGAUGAAUGGUAUUUAUCAUGAUGAGCAAACGGAGCUAGACAUAUUUGGGAGAGUCAAAGUUAUGAACAAGUAUGUGUUUUCAUCUUAUCUCGAAUUCUUUCGUGGUACACCUGAGGGAAGGAGGCUCAAGAGGGGAUGUACUGCCUCUUUUAAUGACAAGUUAAAACCAUAA
rnacentral:lncRNA from 1 species